UACGGAGGGUGCAAGCGUUAAUCGGAAUUACUGGGCGUAAAGCGCACGCAGGCGGUCUGUUACGUCAGAUGUGAAAUCCCCGGGCUUAACCUGGGAACUGCAUUUGAAACUGGCAGGCUUGAGUCUUGUAGAGGGGGGUAGAAUUCCAGGUGUAGCGGUGAAAUGCGUAGAGAUCUGGAGGAAUACCGGUGGCGAAGGCGGCCCCCUGGACAAAGACUGACGCUCAGGUGCGAAAGCGUGGGGAGCAAACAGG
rnacentral:rRNA from 1 species